rnacentral:rRNA from 1 species
GUAAUCCGGAUUUACUGGGUGUAAAGGGAGCGCAGGCGGUGCGGCAAGUCUGAUGUGAAAGCCCGGGGCUCAACCCCGGUACUGCAUUGGAAACUGUCGUACUAGAGUGUCGGAGGGGUAAGCGGAAUUCCUAGUGUAGCGGUGAAAUGCGUAGAUAUUAGGAGGAACACCAGUGGCGAAGGCGGCUUACUGGACGAUAACUGACCGCUGAGGCU